rnacentral:rRNA from 1 species
UGCUUCUAUGACGUUAGCGGCGGACGGGUGAGUAACACGUGGGCAACCUGCCUGUAAGACUGGGAUAACUUCGGGAAACCGAAGCUAAUACCGGAUAGGAUCUUCUCCUUCAUGGGAGAUGAUUGAAAGAUGGUUUCGGCUAUCACUUACAGAUGGGCCCGCGGUGCAUUAGCUAGUUGGUGAGGUAACGGCUCACCAAGGCGAACGAUGCAUAGCCGACCUGAGAGGGUGAUCGGCCACACUGGGACUGAGACACGGCCCAGACUCCUACGGGAGGCAGCAGUAGGGAAUCUUCCGCAAUGGACGAAAGUCUGACGGAGCAACGCCGCGUGAGUGAUGAAGGCUUUCGGGUCGUAAAACUCUGUUGUUAGGGAAGAACAAGUACAAGAGUAACUGCUCGUACCUUGACGGUACCUAACCAGAAAGCCACGGCUAACUACGUGCCAGCAGCCGCGGUAAUACGUAGGUGGCAAGCGUUAUCCGGAAUUAUUGGGCGUAAAGCGCGCGCAGGCGGUUUCUUAAGUCUGAUGUGAAAGCCCACGGCUCAACCGUGGAGGGUCAUUGGAAACUGGGGAACUUGAGUGCAGAAGAGAAAAGCGGAAUUCCACGUGUAGCGGUGAAAUGCGUAGAGAUGUGGAGGAACACCAGUGGCGAAGGCGGCUUUUUUGGUCUGUAACUGACGCUGAGGCGCGAAAGCG